UUCCCCCUUCCUCUUGUUGAUUCUCCUUUGUUGCAGCGCAGCCUUCGCCGACUCCCUUGGGUCGAUCAGGAGAGAACUGCACCGUUGGUGUCUUUCUCCAUGAAGAAGACUCCUCCCUUUGUUGGCAACAGCUGUCUAGCACAAUUGGUAGGAAUUGCUGGUUGAAGCAGCCUUCCGUCUGGCACUUUCAGAGUUCGAGUCCCCCACCCUCCUUACUGCGUUGGGAUGCCUUGCGAGACAGCCUUAGGCCUGUGAUAUGCAACUCUAUACUGACAUGUGGCAACCGAUUACUCACCAUAUUCAAAUAGAAACCAGGAACGGCUAUGCGAAGCGAGCAACCUUGAAUCCCAAGAUCCGAGGGAGAUCCAGAGCUUCCCGACAGAGGGUAGACAUCCCAACACCAACAUAUCUUCGAUUGCAACAAGCUGUCAUCCUAGUUGGGCCAUAGGCCCUCGAGAGGAAUUGUCCAAAAAAAAAAUGAUAAUCCUUAUAAUUAUGACAUUGCUACUCAUUUAAAGGAUUUCAUUUUAAUUACAA